GACGAACGCUGGCGGCGUGCCUAAUACAUGCAAGUAGAACGCUGAAGGAGGAGCUUGCUUCUCUGGAUGAGUUGCGAACGGGUGAGUAACGCGUAGGUAACCUGCCUGGUAGCGGGGGAUAACUAUUGGAAACGAUAGCUAAUACCGCAUAAUAGUAGAUGUUGCAUGACAUUUGCCUAAAAGGUGCAAUUGCAUCACUACCAGAUGGACCUGCGUUGUAUUAGCUAGUUGGUGGGGUAACGGCUCACCAAGGCGACGAUACAUAGCCGACCUGAGAGGGUGAUCGGCCACACUGGGACUGAGACACGGCCCAGACUCCUACGGGAGGCAGCAGUAGGGAAUCUUCGGCAAUGGACGGAAGUCUGACCGAGCAACGCCGCGUGAGUGAAGAAGGUUUUCGGAUCGUAAAGCUCUGUUGUAAGAGAAGAACGAGUGUGAGAGUGGAAGGUUCACACUGUGACGGUAUCUUACCAGAAAGGGACGGCUAACUACGUG
rnacentral:rRNA from 1 species